rnacentral:rRNA from 1 species
UACGUAGGGUGCGAGCGUUGUCCGGAAUUAUUGGGCGUAAAGAGCUCGUAGGCGGUGUGUCACGUCGGCCGUGAAAACCUGCAGCUUAACUGUGGGCGUGCGGUCGAUACGGGCAUCACUGGAGUUCGGCAGGGGAGACUGGAAUUCCUGGUGUAGCGGUGAAAUGCGCAGAUAUCAGGAGGAACACCGGUGGCGAAGGCGGGUCUCUGGGCCGAUACUGACGCUGAGAAGCGAAAGCGUGGGGAGCAAACAGG